rnacentral:rRNA from 1 species
GAUGAACGCUGGCGGCGUGCCUAAUACAUGCAAGUCGAGCGAACGGAUGAGAAGCUUGCUUCUCUGAUGUUAGCGGCGGACGGGUGAGUAACACGUGGAUAACCUACCUAUAAGACUGGGAUAACUUCGGGAAACCGGAGCUAAUACCGGAUAAUAUUUUGAACCGCAUGGUUCAAAAGUGAAAGACGGUCUUGCUGUCACUUAUAGAUGGAUCCGCGCUGCAUUAGCUAGUUGGUAAGGUAACGGCUUACCAAGGCAACGAUGCAUAGCCGACCUGAGAGGGAGAUCGGCCACACUGGAACUGAGACACGGUACAGACUCCUACGGGAGGCAGCAGUAGGGAAUCUUCCGCGAUGGGCGAAAGCCUGACGGAGCAACGCCGCGUGAGUGAUGAAGGUCUUCGGAUCGUAAAACUCUGUUAUUAGGGAAGAACAUAUGUGUAAGUAACUGUGCACAUCUUGACGGUACCUAAUCAGAAAGCCACGGCUAACUACGUG